GGCGAUCGACUCCCCUCAACCUGAGCUUCAUUUUGGCGGUGACGGUGUCGCAAAUGGUGGCCGGAGUUAGUAGUUGCAGUGGAGAGAGAAAGUGGGUGGCAGCCGCGUUUUCUGGCUUUUCCGGCGAGUUUUGGCUGAUCGGAGGACAUAUUCGGACUCCUCUCAGCUCAAGCUUUUCAAUGGCAUCGGUUUCGUGGCGAUCAGACUCUGUUUGAAAAUCGACAGUCGAGAUCAUCUGUAAAUCCCUCCGGAUGAUGGUUCCGAGUCUGUUGGUGUGUUCGGAUUGUCGAUCGGACUCUGGCAGUUGGAAGCGAGUUGAUCGAGCGAUCAAGCGUCUCGGUAAUUUUCUGGCCCAUUGAUUUUAGAAUUUACUGGUAAAAUUUUUGUAUUUAUUGAAUUGUGUUGAGCAUUAGAAAAUAUUAUGAGUUAAAAUAAUUAUUUGUCAGACUGUCUCCCNNNNNNNNNNNNNNNNNNAGGUCGUGAUUUGUGAUGUGUGACGGAGUCGGAAAAAAUAGUAAAGUUUUGGGGACUCGACUCCCGUUAAAAUAAAUUGUUGAAUAUUUGAAGUGUUUUCUGGAAGGUCUUGGACCCGUUUUACGGGGGUAAAUGUCUGUAUUUUAGAGAAAGUUCUACCGAAUUUUUGGUAGAAUUUACCCGAAUCGAGAUUUUUAGAUAGUCAGUCCUAGGAAUCUAGACCUAGGGUUAAUUGUCAAAUGUUUCAAUGUUAUUGAUUAAUUGUUUUCCGUGAUUAGAUAAUCCAUCAGUUCGGCUCGCUCCAUCCGAGGCAUCGGAGCAAGCUAGGAGGUCGUCAAAGUUUUGAGUUAAAAGUCAUAUGUCUGUUUACAUGUGUUAUGCUAAGAUUUUACGAAAUAAUUCUAAUUACAUGAUUUAAUAUUUUAAUCAGUUAUUUUAAUCGUUACUUAUAUAAGUUUUCAUUUCUGCAUUAUGAUUUUUAUUGUUUCGUGUUGACUCGGGAUGGGAUGGCUGUAGAACAUGCUAUUUAAUGAAUGCACCGAUAUGAAUCUAAGACUGAUAGCAAAGGGGCAAAAAGGAAAAAUUUUAAAAGGUAAAUUUAGGACUUGUUCUGGUCGAGCAUUGCUCUCUAGGCUUAGUAGAAUAUGUUUGUCGGAGUAAAGGUCCCUGGUCGAGCAUUGCUCUCUGUGCGCCGACUUAUUUGGAAACUUGAAUGACCAGACUGGAUUUAAAGUCUCUGGUCAAGCUUCGCUCUCCGAGCACUAGUCUUAUUGGAGAAAGAGAGCCGAAAGGCUAAGANNNGAGUCGAGAUGCUAGUGUUGAGAUUAGGGUUCUGCUGAGGUACUUCGUCCCAUAGUACGUGAAAGUUAUUUUUAUUUAAGAAUGGCAUGACACGUUUAUUUUUGCAUAACUUAAUAUUUAUUUCAAAUUAACUAAAGGUGUUAUUGAAGUGUUUGUAAUUGUUUUUGGAUAUAUAAUUUUAACUCACUCUCAAGACUGACAGUCUCAAUUUUACUGUUUGUCAUAUCUAUGAUUGUUAGUGUUCCCACGGCUCCUAUCUAGCAACCUACCUCCUUCAUCAUCGGGUGAUAUAAUUGAUUUGGUAUGUUUAACUUGUAAAAUCUUAGAUUCUCCGCAGUAGAAAUAAUAAACUUAUCAGUUGUAAUUUUAUGUAGUUUGGGUCUUGCCAAAUUCUACUCGCAGACCGAAUUAAAUACGUAGAAUUUAAUGGUUAAGAUAAAUUGUAACAUCAGUAAUAUUAGAUGAGAUUUAAUUAAGCGAGUGAGUGUCAGGUUUACUACGGAAUUUGGUAGCCUUACAUCUGCCCAUUCCCUAGUGCCGGUCACGGGCCCACAGACCGGGUCGUGACAAUUAAGACUUUCUAAAGUUAAUGAUUUUAUGAAUGAUUUUCACAUGAAAUACUUUUAAAAAGUUUAUGAAUUUUUAACGACUUUUACAGAAUUUAUUUUUUUAUGAAUGAUUUUCACAGAUUUUACUUAAAAAUAUUUUUAAAGACAUUAGUAGACUUCUAUUAAUUUUAUAGACUACUAUUUUAUUUAUUAUUUAAUUAUUUAGAAAUAAAUUUUAAUUAUUUUACUUUUAUUAUUUUCAUCAUCUUUUUUUACAUUUAUUUUAAAUAUUAUUCUACAUAAUGUUAUAUGUAACUCUAUACAAAAAUAUCAUAUUUCAUUUCAUUAUUGCCAAAUUCAUAUCAUUUUUAAAUUUUCUACCUCAUGGCAUAAACACUAUUUUUUGUCAAGACAAUAAUUUUUUAAAAAAGAAAUUAUCAUAUUACAAUUUGUCUCUGAUUAAAUUACCAAACUCAUGUCAUACUCGUUAUAUUUUAUUUAUUACCUAUUUGAUAAAUACUUAAACUAACAAUAAUCAUGCCUUUUAAUUCAUUGAUUAAUAUCUAAACCAAAAACAAUCACGUUUACCAAUAAAAAAUUAUCUUUUGAAUAAAACCUAGAAAUUUAAAUAUAGUGGGAUUGUUGCUCAAUAUAAUUCACUAAAUGCUUCAUUUAAAAUUUAUAUUUUUAUGAGGGCCCUUUUAAAAUUAAAUUAAUAACUUUUAAUUAAUUUUUUUGUAUAUGUGAGUACAAGAAAAUAUUAUUAGUAAAUAAUUUUUAGCUUAUGAGUUUUAUCCAAUUUUUUAUAUUUUUUAAGAUGGAAAAUACAGUAAAGAGAAAUGAAAACGAUAAUGUAAGAUAAAUUUAAAAAGAAAAGGAACGAGUUUUCAAAAAAAGUCUAUUGAAAUCUUGAAAAAAUGUGAAAGAAAAAUCUUGAGAAUUUUUUUUCAUAACAAUGUAGAAAAAGUGAUUAAAAGUAUAUAAAAGUCCACGUCUAUAAAAGUUAAUGACUUUUUGAAUACUAGCUUAUUUUUAAAGACUUUGUAAAAGUUGUAAUUGAAUACCUCAUAACUUAUGUAAAGUUUUUAAAAAUUAGUAUUGAAUACAUCGUCCUAAAAGAGAAAAUUUAAUUGAGAUUAAACUCUAUAAAGUCAUUAAAAAAUUUAAUUGAAUACACCCUCCUAAAAGAGAAACAAUUGAGAUUAUUUCACAAACCUCCAUUUCUUUCUUGUUUAGAGUACAAUAGAGAAAAUAAAUUUGGAAAUAAAAAGCAAAUUUGAUACAUAAAAUUACUUGUUGAGCCUGUAUAAACAACAACCUCAACAAGCACUCAAAUCAUAUUAUUUUUCUAUUGGUUUAAAGGUCAAUGUGCCUUCUCAACUUGGAGUCAAUAAUCAAUUAAUUCAAGUUUUAAAUUUUUGGCUCAUUUUAUCCACCAACUUGGUAAAAGAGGAAAAUUCAAUCCAAACUCCGAUAAAAUUAAAAAAUUGAAUUACUUGCAUUAAGCAAGGAAGUAAAUAGAGGGCUUAAUCAAUAAGUAAAGUUUAUUUUAGUCCUUGGAUUUUAUACUAUUUUAAAAUUUUUGCCUAAUCUACCUAAGAACUUCAAUGAAUUAAGUAUUUAUAAUUCAAUAGGAAGCUGUAUAAAGAGCAUUAUUGGAAAUUCUUAAAAUAGUAGUUAAUCCAUAGAUUAUGCAGUUGUUAUUAUUAUUUCUAAUAAUAAAGAAUAAUAAAGAAUAAGUUAAUAAAAAAUAUAAUAAGAUUUUUAAUAUUUAAGAAUUAAUUUAUCAUAAUUUUAUGAAAUAAUAAUACUUUAAUAUAAUUUUGAAUCUCUUCCUUAAUAAAAUCUUUUAAUAUUUUAAAAAUUAUAUUAAUACAAUAAAUAUAAUAUCUAUAUUAAACAUAUUUGUAUUGACAUAUUAAUUAUAUAAUAUAACUAUUAUGCUAUUUUUAGGAUUUAUAUAACUAGGAAAGUAACUUAAUUAAUUUAGAAAUUAACUUAUUAAAAGACAAACUAAUUUAAAGUUUGAGAGAGGGUUAUCAUUGAUAAUAUUUGAAUCAUUGAUUUAUUUUCACUUUUAGAUAGAUAACUUGAGCUUUAACUUAUCUUGAUAUAUAUCUUAUCAAAAAAAUUUAUUAAAUUAUAAAAAUUUGAAUUAAAAAAUCAAAUUUGAGCUCUUAUUCACUAAAAAAUCCUUUUUCAUAAAAGAAAAAAAAUUCUAUUUCUCUCCUUACUUUCUUCCCCUUUUUCUUAAAAGAAAAAAGGCUAAAUAUAAAAUCUAUCAUUGUCCCCAAAAUUAGCACAAGAUGUACCAACUACUUCUUGUAUGUUAUUGUUGGCACCUAUGUGUUUUUAGAGGUUGUUGAGAACCAUUGGACUGGUAAUCCAAUUGUUAAUUUGAUCUUGUCAUGAACCAAUUUAUUGGUUAGCAAAUGAUUAACACAUGAAAACAACUUUUCUCUUCCAUGUAUUUGACAUUUCUUGUUGGAACUUCCUGAAUGAAAUCAUCUUUUGCAGAGUAAUAAAGGUCCUAAAUUGGUGGCUUUUUGAGCUGUCCAAGUCUCCAUAAAGUUUACAACUUCAAAACUUCUCUAACAGACAUUAAAGAAAGAAAGAAAGAAAGAAAGAAAGAACUUGAUUCAAGCAAGAAUUACUCUGCAAGCAUAUCUACAUUUGUGUUGAUAAAAAAUUAAGUUUGAUUCAUAAAUGACAUAAUAUAUUUACAUAUCGACAGAAAAGAAAAGAGAAGUCUUAGAUACCUCUAGUUUACUGCACCCAAAAUCAUUGCAUGGAUGAUACAUAUAUUUGAGAGUUCUACACUUGUAUAAUGAGACAGCUGACAGAUAUUUAAAAUAUUAUGACUACUCUUUAAAUAUCACUCAUCUAACUGUAGGAAACUAUACACUAAAAGCAACCAAGAAAAAUCAAACAAGGAAAAAAUGGUUAGUAUUUACUUCCGCAACUAAUAAUGGCAUUAUGAUCAUUUUCUUAUUUGCUGUUUCUUUUCUUCUUUUCUUUUUUAAAUAAUUUACAGGAUUGUUAUAAUAUGAUUGAACCCUAAUGCAUGAUGGUCAGAAAACUCCUUGUAGAGACUGAAUCUUGUGGAGAAAUUGAGAAGGAGCUAUCAUCACAUUCAUAUUCUAAAUCUUCAAAUCC
rnacentral:lncRNA from 1 species